UGGGGAAUAUUGGACAAUGGGCGCAAGCCUGAUCCAGCAAUGCCGCGUGUGUGAAGAAGGCCUUCGGGUUGUAAAGCACUUUUAUCAGGAGCGAAACGCUGUCGGCUAAUACCCGGCGGAACUGACGGUACCUGAGGAAUAAGCACCGGCUAACUUCGUGCCAGCAGCCGCGGUAAUACGAAGGGUGCAAGCGUUAAUCGGAAUUACUGGGCGUAAAGCGUGCGUAGGCGGUUUCUUAAGUCUGCUGUGAAAUCCCCGGGCUCAACCUGGGAAUGGCAGUGGAUACUGGGAGGCUAGAGUGUGUCAGAGGGUGGUGGAAUUCCCGGUGUAGCGGUGAAAUGCGUAGAGAUCGGGAGGAACAUCAGUGGCGAAGGCGGCCACCUGGGACAACACUGACGCUGAGGCACGAAAGCGUGGGGAGCAAACAGGAUUAGAUACCCUGGUAGUCCACGCCCUAAACGAUGCGAACUGGAUGUUGGUCUCAACUCGGAGAUCAGUGUCGAAGCUAACGCGUUAAGUUCGCCGCCUGGGGAGUACGGUCGCAAGACUGAAACUCAAAGGAAUUGACGGGGUC
rnacentral:rRNA from 1 species